rnacentral:rRNA from 1 species
UACGUAGGGGGCAAGCGUUGUCCGGAAUCAUUGGGCGUAAAGAGCGCGCAGGCGGUCGUGCAAGUCGCGUGUGAAAGCCCCCGGCUCAACUGGGGAGGGUCACGCGAUACUGCUCGACUUGAAGGCAGGAGAGGGAAGUGGAAUUCCCGGUGUAGUGGUGAAAUGCGUAGAUAUCGGGAGGAACACCAGUGGCGAAGGCGACUUCCUGGCCUGUUCUUGACGCUGAGGCGCGAAAGCUAGGGUAGCAAACGGG